UAACACGUAAAGAAUCUGCCCUGAAGCGGGGAAUAACUAUCCCAACGGAUAGCUAAUACCGCAUAACGAUGGAGAAGGCAUCUUCUCUUCUCAAAAGGCUUCGGCCACUUCAGGAUGACUUUGCGUCCCAUUAGCUUGUUGGCGGUGUAACGGACCACCAAGGCGACGAUGGGUAUCUGGUCUGAGAGGACGGACAGCCACACUGGGACUGAGACACGGCCCAG
rnacentral:rRNA from 1 species